rnacentral:rRNA from 1 species
GACGAACGCUGGCGGCGUGCUUAACACAUGCAAGUCGAACGGAAAGGCCUGCUUUCCCUUGUGGAUUGCGGGUACUCGAGUGGCGAACGGGUGAGUAACACGUGGGUGAUCUGCCCCCAACUUGGGUAUAAGCCUGGGAAACUGGGUCUAAUUCCCGAUAGGACUGCAGGGUGGUGCCUGUGGUGGAAAACGAUUUUCUAGUGGUUGGGGAUGAGCUCGCGGCCUAUCAGCUUGUUGGUGGGGUAAUGGCCUACCAAGGCGGCGACGGGUAGCCGGCCUGAGAGGGUGGACGGCCACAUUGGGACUGAGAUACGGCCCAGACUCCUACGGGAGGCAGCAGGGGGGAAUAUUGCACAAUGGGCGGAAGCCUGAUGCAGCGACGCCGCGUGGGGGAUGACGGCCUUCGGGUUGUAAACUCCUUUCGACCGCGAGGAAGCCACCUGGUUGGAAGGGUGGUGACGGUAGUGGUAGAAGAAGCACCGGCUAACUACGUG